CGUACAAAACUCCGCUUGGACACAGGAAAGGCGUGUUUGUGCAUCAUUAAUAUGAAUAUAUGGGACGGAGUACUAGGGAACUAGAGGGCGGGUUGCCGAAAAAGACUGUAUUUAAGCCUCCCGAGAUUGCUUCAGGUUAGAUUCUGUGCAUUGCUACUAGGCAGGUGUAGCAAGCAAAUUGGUGGAGAACUGUAAACUAAUUUGAAUUUGAAAAUGUUUAUUUAAUCAUUUCUUCUAUUAUUUACCUUUACCUAAUUUACUAAAUUAGAGUCCAUUGCUGGGAAUGAACAUCAGUUACGCUCAGCUCAUUUAUAUUAUUAUACUGUAAUAUUGAAUACAAGCUGACGGUGUGGGAGAAGUCAAACGGUCAUUUAAACCCGAAAAUGACAAGGUCAUUUUAACGUUCGAAUAACUUCAAAAUAAAGUUCAGACUCAGGAUCUUAAAAAAGGUCCCAGUUAGCCGGAGCCCAUGUCAGCAACAAUGGACAAGAAGCAGGAUACACCCUGGACAGGGUUCUGGUUGCUUCCAUUUGAGAGAGAAAAACAUUUUCUUUCCUUAUUGUGGUCAUCAAACAUUGAAGUCGUUGCUGCAAUGUUUCAUCAGUCAUUGAGAAGUCUAACCCAGCAGGCACAGAGGAACAAGGACAAGUCAGAGGGCUUUUGAGAAGACAGGGCUGAAUCCACCGUCUGCCAAGGCCACAGCUUCAAAGACAUGCAGACUUUAAACCAAGCUGGGAUUAAAACCUUGUGUUGGAAAGAACGAAGCCAGCACUCUCCUACUCACACAGAGAACAUGUGAGGUGAGAAACUAUAAGAAUGUAAUUGUCUUGUGGGUUAUGUUUUAUUUAUGAUUGAAAACAGAAUAUUGCAUCAGAAAACUUUUUUUUUUACACUGGAAAUCAUCUUAACUGAAGAAACAGCAUUUUAGAAAUGAAUAAAAAGGUAACAUUAGGGAAAGUGUUGCCUUUAUCAUUUAUUCCUAUUCUGUGUCUGCUUACCCCAGAAGACUGAAAGGUAAUCUUGCAAAACUGAAUUUCAGUAGUGAAACUUAAUUAUGUUUGCUUAGCUCUACACAGUAUAUGCUGCACCUAUACACUUAACUAGUACCAAAAUAAAUAACUGCUAAGUAGUGAACGUCUCAGUUAAAGCAAUUGUUACCUUACGCUUGAAAGAAAUCAUGUAUUUCAUGUAUUGGAAAGCACUUAAGUUUUCUUGAUCUCUACCAGCAUGAAACCUCAGUUGUCAGUGACACAGAUUGCAAAGAAUCACUUUCAUCUGCUUAAAGACUACAAAGGUUUUAGAGUCCUGCUGUACCCAUAGCUCCUAAUCUUACCAAAAGGUUGGUAUUCUAAACUAAUAACCCUGAGGUUGGGGUGGGGGUAGUGCUCUUCAAGUAGAAGACAGCCACAUAUAUUAUGUGUUAAUCACAAUCUCCUGUCAAGAGAACAAAAAUACAUUGUUGGAGAAGAAGAAUGUAUGGGAGUCCAAUCGUCUGUGGAAUUGAUGAGUUACUACCUGUGACAUUGCCAGUUUACUUUGAUUAGGCCACUUUAUACCCUGUUAAAAUGAAGGCAACAAAACACUAAGUAAAAAGGGGAACAGAAGGGUCAAGUAAAAGUUUCAGUUCCUGUGGGCUUUUUAUUUAAUGUCUGAGCAAAGAUUAGGGAGACACCAUGGUAACAAUGAUGGAUUGUCUUGUGUGCACUGUAUCUCUGCCGUUUCCAGCCUUUCCAAUCCUCUGGAAUGACAUAGGGAUAAGGAUUGCAAGACAAAGGGACUAGCGAGAAAAUCUGUUUUCACUGCCAUGGAGCCCCCCUCUUCAAGUAUAUGGAGUGUUUUUUAGGGAAAAGAGGGUAUUACUUUGCUAAAUGCCUAAGUACAGGUGAGGUAGUUUAUAGUCCCAUGUUUCAUGUCUGCUCUUUCCUUUAAGGAUAAGCAGACUGUAAGACAAAGCAGAGGGUGAUUGGUUGGACAAUUGUGUGGUGAUGAAUCAAGACAGUAAUCUCCCGCUAACAAGGGAGAGAGCAUUUGUAAAUUGACAAAGCAAUGAACAGAAUUGCGCUGUGGGACUCAAAUCCUUUGUUAUUCAUUUACGUCUGAUGGAAAAUGUAUUAGCUAUCUUGUAAUGAGGCUUUACAGAUAUACUAGAAUGAAAAUCUGAUACCCCUGCUGAGGCUUUACAGAUAUACUAGAAUGAAAAUCUGGCGUAUAUUGUUGCAAUAUCCAAGGCCACAUGGUGAUUUAUUCCAAAGUGACCAAUAACAAAGAAAAUCAGGUAAAUCAGUAUGGUGAGAUACCGUCUGCUGUGUCAGUCAGCAAUCAACAACACUUCUCUGUUAAGACUGUAGCUCUCCCCAGCACUGCUGUUCACAGUCCAUUAACCAUUAUUCCACUUACUACCAGAGGCUAUUGGACACCACUUCCCUGUAUCAUCAAUGACUCAGACUUACAAAGAGGUUAAACACAUUCUAGGGGGAAAACAGGUUUCUGGUUGACCUACUGUAUGAGAUUGGUGUUUUUCCUUCUGCUCAGCUUUCAUUAUGAAUUCCAUCUAUUAACAGGUAAAUGUACUAUAUCAGUGUUACAGAAGGAGAUUGUAUAAAGGAGAUUAAAUAAAUCUGAAAUAUAACAGGAUAUUUUACUACAUUAGACUGGCAUUUUAA